rnacentral:rRNA from 1 species
UACGAAGGGGGCUAGCGUUGCUCGGAAUGACUGGGCGUAAAGGGCGCGUAGGCGGAUGGCACAGUCAGAUGUGAAAUUCCCGGGCUUAACCUGGGGGCUGCAUUUGAUACGUGUUGUCUUGAGUUCGGAAGAGGGUCGUGGAAUUCCCAGUGUAGAGGUGAAAUUCGUAGAUAUUGGGAAGAACACCGGUGGCGAAGGCGGCGACCUGGUCCGACACUGACGCUGAGGCGCGAAAGCUGGGGGAGCAAACAGG